CCUGUCUUCCUCAGAGGCCCUGGUCCACUCUCUUAAUAUUAAUUGGAGGACCUGGGAUCACUGCUGCAGAUUCACAGCCUGAUUGGCUCAGCUCACUGUCAAUCUCUACUCUGGUUCUGCCUUUUCUCAAGUUUACACUCCUGUUGCCUAGGAAAUCUCAGUGACUGUGAAAGCUCGAGCCAUUUGCACUGGGAGAGAAGCCAGCCAGAAGUUUUGCUGGCAAUGGUUUGGUUUCUAGAACAGCAUCAAAACUUGUCUCCCAUGUUUUGUAAUGGUUUAACCCACAAGAUAUCAUGCAUUUGAAACUUUUAAGAAGAAACUUAAUUUCAUCUGUGAAUGCAGAAGCAAAUAUGAGGGCAUGGGCAUUUAAAUAUGAAGUAUUUCUUGAAAGCCACCUACUGGAGAGUAAGUUUGGUGCAAUAAUUUAAGAAAAGAUAAAAAAGAAACAGGAAAAUUGGGACAACGGACAGCAUGAUGGAGCCACCGUGCAAGCCCUCAAUAGUCUGCCUCCAGGUUGUGUCAAAUAAAGUAAAAAGAACAAAAUCUCUGGAGUACUUAAGCAAU
rnacentral:lncRNA from 1 species